rnacentral:rRNA from 1 species
UACGUAGGGGGCAAGCGUUAUCCGGAUUUACUGGGUGUAAAGGGAGCGUAGACGGCUCUGCAAGUCUGGAGUGAAAACCCGGGGCUCAACCCUGGGACUGCUUUGGAAACUGUGGAGCUUGAGUACCGGAGGGGUAAGCGGAAUUCCUAGUGUAGCGGUGAAAUGCGUAGAUAUUAGGAGGAACACCAGUGGCGAAGGCGGCUUACUGGACGGUAACUGACGUUGAGGCUCGAAAGCGUGGGGAGCAAACAGGAUUAGAUACC